AUUGAACGCUGGCGGCAGGCCUAACACAUGCAAGUCGAGCGGAUGAAGGGAGCUUGCUCCUGGAUUCAGCGGCGGACGGGUGAGUAAUGCCUAGGAAUCUGCCUGGUAGUGGGGGAUAACGUCCGGAAACGGGCGCUAAUACCGCAUACGUCCUGAGGGAGAAAGUGGGGGAUCUUCGGACCUCACGCUAUCAGAUGAGCCUAGGUCGGAUUAGCUAGUUGGUGGGGUAAAGGCCUACCAAGGCGACGAUCCGUAACUGGUCUGAGAGGAUGAUCAGUCACGCUGAAAAGAGGAAAGGCAGCCGAGUAGGGGGGAAGGAAGUGGUGGGAAAUAGGGGACAGGGGGGGACCGCCGCAGGCGGACAGGCGUGGUGUGUGAAGAAGUGUUGGGGAUUGUAAAGCACUGGAUGUGGGGAGGAAGGGAAGUAAAUUAAUACUUUGCUGUUAUGACUUUACAAACAGAACAAGCACCGGCUAACUGCGUGCCAGCCGCAGCGGUAAUAAUGGGAAGACAACACGCAUGAAC
rnacentral:rRNA from 1 species